AUUUGGAUGUCCAGCGUGCGGGUCUUUGACGU
rnacentral:sRNA from 1 species